UACGGAGGAUCCGAGCGUUAUCCGGAUUUAUUGGGUUUAAAGGGUGCGUAGGCGGCCUUGUAAGUCAGGGGUGAAAGACGGUAGCUCAACUAUCGCAGUGCCUUUGAUACUGCAGGGCUUGAAUGUACUUGAGGUAGGCGGAAUGUGACAAGUAGCGGUGAAAUGCAUAGAUAUGUCACAGAACACCAAUUGCGAAGGCAGCUUACUAUGGUUUUAUUGACACUGAGGCACGAAAGCGUGGGGAUCAAACAGG
rnacentral:rRNA from 1 species